rnacentral:lncRNA from 1 species
GGCUGCUUCCUUCCUGACAUAGGGUCCCUCUACCCGAAGUGCUCCACGGGGCAGUGAGUGACCUCCAUCCCUGCAGACAGAUACUCAGGAGGAGGCUGAAACCACUGACUACUGGACUCAAACAUUAGCUAGAGUAUGCAAAGCACUGAGAACCAUGCCUGGCACGUUGGAAGCGUAAUAUGAAUGUGUGCUUUUUUGACUCUUGAGCUCUUUAGAAGAGGCUAUAACCUGAUAGGAAGAACCUGUUACUUCACUCCCAUUCUCAAGAUGAGAAUACCGAGGACAUAUAGAGGGAACCAAGUGACUUGCUUGGAGGCCAUGCCCGCCUUACAGUAAGCAAUGUGCUCAGAGUCACACCACAGGACCGAGAGGGAUUGCUUAGAUCCUGGCAAAUGUGUGCCAAGAAUUUUAAAAGGAGCAUCACUGCCAAAUCCUCUUUACCAACCAGCUCCCAUGCCCUUCCACUUCUUCCCACGCCUGCUCUUCAUUCACACGCUGCAGAAUUCCCCAGCCGUGGUCUGGGCGGCUGCAGACCUCUGGAGCUCCUGACCUUGUGAAGCACUGGUUUCUUCCCCAGGCCCUACAGACGUGGGCUCCUGGGGCUAGUGAUGCUGCAACCUGAGCCCAUUUUAUUUAAUCCCGGGUUGAAAAUACAACAUAUAAAGUAGAGACCCUUCUUAGUCUCACUUUACUGACAGUAGCAGAGGCCUGACAUGGCUUUACCACUGGUCACAUGGGCAACAAGAGGGUGGCUGCACUGUGCGAUUUCAUUUGGAGAAUGGUGCUCGAUGGUCAACACCAAACGCACUCUUUGUGUGACCAAACCAUGGCCUGGUUUUAAGCAAAAACCCCAUUUCCAAACAUAAAAAUAGGGGGGAAAUUGAGGAGUCACUGGUCUGAUCUCGUAGAAAUAAUUCGCCGUCACGUUUCCUUAAAUAGCCGGCUCUCCUGGUUCAUGCAAAAAGAAAGGAUUUGAGCUACACAUAGUUCUUCCAGGUUGGCCAAAAACAGUCCUGGGGGUGGGAGGGACGAUUCAGCGGCCUCCCCUCCCCCGGUGUUCCUUUCACUACCAUAUGCUUUCGACUUCAUGGCAACUUCAGUUUAUGGCGGCUACUGUGGCCCCAUCACCAGCAUCUCUCCCCAGCACAGAGCUUCGUGGAUAUAACUCAGAUCCAACAGAUGGCUGAGUUGGUUGAAAAAGCCCCAACACGUUGGAACAUGUGUGGCUGUUUAUAAGGGUUCAUUUUCCACUGGGGGCAAAUGGGGCUUUUGUAAGAUCACCCCUGGGCUCUAAAGACAGGACCUUUACGUCCAUCUGCUUCCUGGGGGCGAGGGUGGAUAGCUCGUAGGGGAGGGGCUGUGAUGACCAAUGCCUGCUUCUCUCUCUCUAGGGCCCCAUAAACGUAUGUGUUCAACAUGCACUCCCUGACUUGACGAGCAAGAACAAAUUAUGCCGGUGACUGUAGGGGCCUCUGCCCUCCGAUCAUAGCUCAGGUGACAGGUCAAAGAUAGUCACGUAUCAGUUCAGAUGGAGUGGAUUCUUUUUUUUUUUUUUUUU